CCGUCUCCCUCUCUCUCUUGCAAGAGCUGCCUGGGGUCUGGCCCAGCACAAGGUCUGAGGGACGGUGGACCGGCCCAUGGCUGAAAAAGGUUGCUGACCCCUGGUCUAUAGCUAUCCUUCUGGAGCCAGAGAGGAUAGUCACUUUCCAGGGCACCAUUUAAGAUGUAGAGGUUUAGCCUGAAUGCUGUUUGAGCCAAGCAGAUGCCUGCAAAGUUUGAUUUCUGAUCUUUGGAACAACGGGUGAGGAGGAAUCCACUGGCUUCACGGUUGGGAGGAGACCAUUUGUGCUGUGCAUAAAGGGCAUGAUCAUUAGGGCCCAAUCUGGCAUUGAGGUCCCCUCCUAAAACUCCAGAUGCCUUUGGGUUAAGCAAAAUAAGCGAGGAGACUGGGAGAAUCAGUGCAGUGUGGUCAGCAAAAUGUGAAUUCCAGGCAAGCAGGGCUGUCAUCUCUUCAGCAGGGGAGACUUCCUUUCACUUGUCCGAGGAGAGGAGAGGGGAACUGUUUCUCCCUG